CCUACGGGAGGCAGCAGUGGGGAAUAUUGGGCAAUGGGCGAAAGCCUGACCCAGCGACGCCGCGUGAGGGAUGAAGGUCUUCGGAUUGUAAACCUCUUUCAGUAGGGAAGAAGCGAAAGUGACGGUACCUAAAGAAGAAGCACCGGCUAACUAUGUGCCAGCAGCCGCGGUAAUACAUAGGGUGCAAGCGUUGUCCGGAAUUAUUGGGCGUAAAGAGCUCGUAGGUCGUUUGUCGCGUCGAUUGUGAAAAUCUGAGGCUCAACCUCAGACCUGCAGUCGAUACGGGCAAACUAGAGUGUGGUAGGGGAGACUGGAAUUCCUGGUGUAGCGGUGGAAUGCGCAGAUAUCAGGAGGAACACCAAUGGCGAAGGCAGGUCUCUGGGCCAUAACUGACACUGAGGAGCGAAAGUGCGGGGAGCGAACAGGAUUAGAUACCCUGGUAGUCCGCACCGUAAACGGUGGGCACUAGUUGUGGGAACCUUCCACGGUUUCCGCGACGCAGCAAACGCAUUAAGUGCCCCGCCUGGGGAGUACGAUCGCAAGAUUAAAACUCAAAGGAAUUGACGG
rnacentral:rRNA from 1 species